rnacentral:rRNA from 1 species
GACGAACGCUGGCGGCGUGCUUAACACAUGCAAGUCGAACGGAAAGGCCCUGCUUUUGUGGGGUGCUCGAGUGGCGAACGGGUGAGUAACACGUGAGUAACCUGCCCUUUACUUUGGGCUAACUUCAGGUAACUGGGGCUAAUACCGGAUAGGAGCUCCUGCUGCAUGGUGGGGGUUGGAAAGUUUGGGCGGUUGGGGAUGGACUCGCGGCUUAUCAGCUUGUUGGUGGGGUAGUGGCUUACCAAGGCUUUGACGGGUAGCCGGCCGGAGUGGGUGACCGGCCACAUUGGGACUGAGAGACGGCCCAGACUCCUACGGGAGGCAGCAGUGGGGAAUAUUGCACAAGGGGCGGAAGCCUGAUGCAGCAACGCCGCGUGCGGGAUGACGGCCUUCGGGUUGUAAACCGCUUUCGCCGGGGACGAAGCGUGAGUGACGGUAAUGGGUAAAGAAGCACCGGCUAACUACGUG